UACGUAGGGUGCAGGCGUUAAUCGGAAUUACUGGGCGUAAAGCGUGCGCAGGCGGCUCCUUAAGUCAGAUGUGAAAGCCCCGGGCUUAACCUGGGGACUGCGUUUGAAACUGGGGGGCUAGAGUGUGGAAGAGGGGGGUGGAAUUCCAGGUGUAGCAGUGAAAUGCGUAGAGAUCUGGAGGAACACCGAUGGCGAAGGCAGCCCCCUGGGCUAACACUGACGCUCAUGCACGAAAGCGUGGGGAGCAAACAGG
rnacentral:rRNA from 1 species